rnacentral:rRNA from 1 species
UACGUAGGGAGCAAGCGUUGUCCGGAAUCAUUGGGCGUAAAGCGCGCGUAGGUGGCCAUGUAAGUCCGCUGUGAAAGUCAAAGGCUCAACCUUUGAAAGCCGGUGGAUACUGCAUGGCUAGAGUACGGAAGAGGCGAGUGGAAUUCCUGGUGUAGCGGCGGAAUGCGCAGAUAUCAGGAGGAACACCAAUAGCGAAGGCAGCUCGCUGGGACGUUACUGACACUGAGGCGCGAAAGCGUGGGGAGCGAACAGG